rnacentral:rRNA from 1 species
UAUUACUGGGCGUAAAGCGCACGUAGGCGGGUUUGUAAGUAAAAGGUGAAAGCCCAAAGCUCAACUUUGGAAUUGCCUUUUAUACUGCAUCGAUUGAAUCAUGGAUAGGUCAGGGGAAUUCCGAGCGUAUAGGUAAAAUUCGUAGAUAUUCGGAAAAACACCAGUGGCAAAGGCGGGUGACUGGACAUGUGUGGACACUGAGGGGCGAAAGCGUGGGGAGCAAACAGGAUUAGAUACCCAGGUAGUCCACACCGUAAACAAUGAUAACUAGCUGUCCGGACACUUGGGGUUAGGGGGGCGCAUCUAACGCAUUAAGUUAUCCGCCGGGGGAGUACGGCCGCAGGGUUAAAACUCAAAGGA